rnacentral:lncRNA from 1 species
AUCAAAACUGUUGCUCAAAACAAAAAUAAGCUAUUCCAAGAAAAAUGAAAGUAUAAAGUCAUUAAAGUGGAGGAUUUUGCAAGCCUUCUUACUAAGAAUAAUAGGAUGAACUGCACAAAAUUAAUCACUACAAUAUAAAGGUGGCUAACAGGAGACACGAGUUUGCCCUAGGUCCUUUAUGAGAGGAUGUAUGUAUAUAAGGAAUAACUACAAUUAAUGACAU